UACGUAGGGUGCGAGCGUUAAUCGGAAUUACUGGGCGUAAAGCGUGCGCAGGCGGUUCGUUGUGUCGGUGGUGAAAUCCCCGGGCUUAACCUGGGAAUGGCCAUGGAAACUGGCGGACUGGAGUGUGGCAGAGGGGGGUGGAAUUCCGCGUGUAGCAGUGAAAUGCGUAGAGAUGCGGAGGAACACCGAUGGCGAAGGCAGCCCCCUGGGCUAACACUGACGCUCAGGCACGAAAGCGUGGGGAGCAAACAGG
rnacentral:rRNA from 1 species